GCUAGCAUUUCAUUGUCAUGAAUAGUGCGAAGUGUGGUCAGGCUUCACGUAGCAAUGUUAAAUACCAUGGUAACCAUGUAUGGCUCUCUCUGCCCUCAGCUUGCUCAGUGCAAAGGAGUGAGGGGCAUUUUACACUUAUUAAUUAUCAAAGGCUGUACUCCAGGCAGCAACAAACAGGCACAAAAACAAGAGUUCUGUAACAGAUCCUACAAGAACUAUACUUGUUCAGCUGAAGAUGUGUACUUUUUAGAGUCAUUAUGCAUGGUUUGUGAUGAAGAAAGAAAUUAUUUUAAAUUUUAUUUAGUUAGUUUAUUUUAUAUUCAUCUGUUGCUUGGCAACCUACUAAAUAUCCUGGUACCAGAGUUAGGGCUGAGGUAAUAUAAAAUGACCUCAUGAUAUUUUUGCAAAUUUGUACGUUUUCCUUGUUUGUGGAUGUCUGUCCACAAUCCACAGGCUGCACAAGUAAACAAAGAGUUGUUAAAGAGAACUGUCACCCUGUCCAAGGAAAAGCUCUGCUGUACCUAUGAUUUAGUAUUUUAAAGGUAUAAUGUCAAUAUAUAGCUUAAAUGGGUAAAAUGUUUAAUUUUAUCCAUUUAAGCUAUUUUUAUGAGUCCGACAUCAGCCGCUUCUGGAAAGAGACUGAAUGUUAAUGAUACUUUGGUGAGACAAGUGUCUUCGAAUCGCUCCUCAUUGUUUUCCACUUAUAUCCUGCACUAGGAACUGCACUAGAAAGGCCACAUUUAUCUGAGCACAUGCGUUAUAUUUUCUUUAGCUGUUAAUCUUAUAUGUACGUAUGUAUGUAUGUCUGUGUGUGCGUGUGUCUACGUGUGUAUGAAGCUUACAUACUAAUCAGAUAUGUUUAUUAUGUGUUAUUCAUUUUCUCUGUGCAGCACUUCAGACAGUGAAGGUUGUUCUUAAAGUGCUUUGUAAAUGAAGUUUACUUACUUCUGAUAUUGAUGAAUUAGGUAGAAGAAUCUGACGGCGACCCUGAUGAUGUCAUUGGUGUGGCACAGCUAGAAUCUCUAUGACGUGUUAAUUGACAGUUGGGCGCCUGUUAUGCCCAACAACAUGGCUUGAUUUUCUUCCGCGGACAUAAUAGAAGCCUGCAAACACUAUGCUGAAAUUCCCAUGAACUCAGCACCGGGUCAUGACAUUUUCCAUUUCACUUCCAGUAGACAGGAAAUUAAAUCUCUGCCAUUUUAAUAGUGACAAUUAUAUUUUUCAAAAGCACCUCAAUUUGGUCCUUUUUAUCAAGGGUCAUCGAUUGAGUAUCAUUCUAAUAAGAGUGAGCUCUGUGUUACUUAUAAUCAUUUGUAUUCAGUGAUAUACAUUUAACAUCUAUUUAGCACAAAUCAACAAAAAACAUUGUCUCUCUCUAUCUAUCUCUAUCUAUCUCUAUCUAUCUCAGUCAGCUAAGUCUCAGUUCUGUGGGAUGCAGGUAUCAUAAACCAUUGUUUAUCGGUCUAUGUUUACUUACAUGCAUUGCUGUUAUGCGAACAAAACUGGGUAUUUAAAUCAGUUGUCUGCUCAAAUGCACUUAAUCAUAGUACUCAUGUAAAAGAAUGGGCACCCAGAAUAUUGAAGAAAAAAUGGGAAACAUGGAAGGUGACUGCUGUAAACAUGGAAGGUGGCUGCUGUAAACAUGGAAAGUGGCUGCUGUAAACAUGGAAGGUGGCUGCUGUAAACAUGGAAGGUGGCUGCUGUAAACAUGGAAGGUGGCUGCUGUAAACAUGGAAGGUGGCUGCUGUAAACAUGGAAGGUGACUGCUGUAAACAUGGAAAGUGGCUGCUGUAAACAUGGAAAGUGACUGCUGUAAACAUGGAAAGUGGCUGCUGUAAACAUGGAAGGUGACUGCUGUAAACAUGGAAGGUGGCUGCUGUAAACAUGGAAGGUGGCUGCUGUAAACAUGGAAGGUGGCUGCUACAAACAUGGAAGGUGAGGCGGCCGUUGGUUGAAACUGUCAGACCUGUCGUAAAUCUGUGUGUGGAAGGUCUUAAUCUGAGCUGUAACAUAAAAUCCUGGCUAUCAAAGUGAUUCAUGCAUCCCUCCUUUCCAUUCCAUUUGGGAUUGCCUCACAUGUUCCAGCAUAAUCAAAAGGUCUGACUAACACUUCUUACUAUAUUAGUCAGGCUUCUCUAUUGUUAUCGUCACACAAUAAAUAGACACACCUUAGGUACCCGAACUUUCUCUUCAGGCUAACUAAAUCCCAUUAUAACUAUAUUUCUCUAAGACCUACCCCUGAACAGACCAGCAGUCUGUGCCUACGGUACCACAGAUUGGGCCUCUCUCCAGCUACUUAUUUAUUUGUAUUUGCUCAUUUAUCCAUCCAUCCAUCCAUCCAUCCAUCAUCUCCCGAGGUCGGGUCCCGGUUAUUUAGCAAAUGCUUUUAUCCAAAGCGACAUAUAUAACUGAGAAAUCAGGUUCCUUAAACAACUGGGGUUAAAGGCCAAUGGUUAAAUCUCCCUGCUUACCCCAAGAUCUGAACCAGUAACCUUCCAGUCAGCAGUACUGUACCUCUAUCCAAACACCACCCUACCUCACUAACCACACCACUUACCUUGUCUAAGAGCCCUUUCCCAAAACAGACAAUGCAUAUCAAAUACAUUCUAACUGGCCUGAACUUAUUUCUUGGUAUAUAAACCAGGAUUGGAAUUCCACCUAAAAGUAUAUUCUAGUUUUGAUGUAAUAAUUAAGUGAACCACUAGAGGCCGUCCUAACUCCCUUUAUUCCAUUCAACAUUUUGACCCAAUGAAAUCCACGGCUAAAACUGGCAUUACCUGUUUUGGGUUAGGGUUACCAGAACAUUUGAUCACUUUCAUAUAUGUUUCUGAUUUUAUUUUGAAAUUCGCCUGUUUAUAGGUGCCCUUUACAAAAAUGUCUAUCUUGGAAUUUUGAAAGAAUGUAGGAAUUAUACUCAAAAAUACUACAUGAAUAUAUGUUGGGGGGAGUUUUCAUGUCCCGUCACCAUAUAAAUAUGCAACUUUCUGUCACAUUUUGUGGCACUCCUAACCUGCAGAAGUAUUUUGCAGAUGGUGGUCGCAUGGAGGGGGGACAUUGUGUUGGACCUGUGUGCCCCUAAUUGGGAGGUCUAUGGUUUGAAUCAUAUGGUUGGCAGGGUGCUGUCCCCAUGGGGCUCUUCAGCAAAGGCAGCUCACCCCGGUUCUAAGCCCUACUUGUAUGUCGCUUUGGACAAAUGCAUCCACUCGAUAAAUAAAUAUAAACAUGCAUGAGACAGGCAUGGCCGUUUGUCUAUGAAAUAACUAGCAUUUUUUUUCGGUCAUUGCAUUUUCCAGACACUAAAAAUCUAAUUUGAGACACAAUUAAAUGGCUCUCUUCUAAAUGUAAAAGUGUAAUAAAAGUGUUAGAAAAGUGAUGAUAUUUGAGAAGGUCAUGUGACAAAAUAAAAUUUUAAACAUGCUUUUAUCAUUUUAUAUCCAAUCUGUCUUGGGUUUAAGGAGUUUCAACUUAAUAAGGGAAUAUUAUAUGUUGGCUAAUUAAGCAGACAGCACAGCAAUAUAAUUCAUAUAAAACGCAGUUUUCUCUGUCCUGCACAAACCAUUGCUCCUUACGAAAGCAGUAUCUGAGUUCACAGCUGAAUUUGUUUUCACUGGGUUCAGGUUUAGAGUUCUGAACAUGUAGAUUGCUCUUUGUUAGCUUUCUGUUUGAUGGGUUACACUUAUGAACCAAGGCGUUUGGGAAAGGCUCCAAAGUAAAUUUUAUUAAAUACAAUUUGCCUUGCCUCUUCAAUUCCUUUUCUUUUUAAGACACUGAAAUAUGAUGUCUGUUUAAAUGUUACAUAGCAUUUGUUUCAGUUUUUAUCUGCCUGAUAACACUUCUUUACACUGUAAUUACAGUAUGGUCAAUUUAUUUCACUGUGAUUGAUAUGAAAUACAUUUUCUUGGGAAUGCCAGAUUAAAAUGAAGGGGUUUAACACUUCCUUAACUUUAAAUGAAAGUAUGUAACUAAAUACACAAUAUUUCCUGGUACAUUGACUAAAUGCAGUGCAUGCAAAUUUUGCAUGGUCAUCUUCUUGCGGAGUAUGUACUGAAUUAACAUUUGCAUUGUAUGGUUUCGGGCAGCUUGAAAGACAGUUGUCUUCCCGUUCUGUAUUGAAUCUUGCACGUUUCGUGAGUAAAUUUGGUACAUAUACUCUUUUCUCUUUUGUCUGAAAGGCAUAAUUUCACGUGCUGAAUCAGGCAUUCACCCCCCCAUAUUCUUCCGGCAUUUGACAUUUCUCCUUAUUCUAAUAAAUCAUAUCUCCUUUGUUCUAUGAUUGUGCAUUGCUAAACAAAAAAUCAUUGUCAGGCAUGAAGACAAGGGUUUGCUUAAGACCCUCCUCUGCUUUCUGAAUGAGAUCUGCUGUAGCUUAGUCAUUUUACAGUUUUUUUUUGUCAGUAAGUCAUAUUUGCAGUGUGCUAAUCAUUGAUAAAAGAUUUACAGGUGAAAAGCAUAUAACAAGUGCUUACAGACAAAGGAAUACGUAUAUUUGUGAGCUGUCAGUUUAUUUCACUUUAUGGAUAAUUUAAAAGGUUUAAAACGGUCAGGCCCAUCCCGAGCAGAAAGGCCGGAACUUUCCAGAGAAGUAGAG